rnacentral:rRNA from 1 species
UACGUAGGGUGCGAGCGUUGUCCGGAAUUAUUGGGCGUAAAGGGCUCGUAGGCGGUCUGUCGCGUCUGCUGUGAAAACUCGGGGCUUAACCCCGGGCCUGCAGUGGGUACGGGCAGACUAGAGUGCGGUAGGGGAGACUGGAAUUCCUGGUGUAGCGGUGAAAUGCGCAGAUAUCAGGAGGAACACCGAUGGCGAAGGCAGCUCGCUGGGACGGUACUGACGCUGAGGCGCGAAAGCGUGGGGAGCGAACAGG